UACGAAGGGAGCUAGCGUUGUUCGGAAUCACUGGGCGUAAAGCGCACGUAGGCGGACGUGUCAGUCAGGGGUGAAAUCCCGGAGCUCAACUUCGGAACUGCCUUUGAUACAGCACGUCUUGAGUCCGGAAGAGGAGAGUGGAAUUCCUGGUGUAGCGGUGAAAUGCGCAGAUAUCAGGAAGAACACCCGUGGCGAAGGCGGCUCUCUGGGACGGUAACUGACGCUGAAGACGCGAAAGCCGUGGGGAGCAAACAGG
rnacentral:rRNA from 1 species